rnacentral:rRNA from 1 species
AACGAACGCUGGCGGCAUGCCUAACACAUGCAAGUCGAACGAGACCUUCGGGUCUAGUGGCGCACGGGUGCGUAACGCGUGGGAACCUGCCCUUAGGUUCGGAAUAACUCCCGAAAGGGGUGCUAAUACCGGAUAAUGUCUUCGGACCAAAGAUUUAUCGCCUUUGGAUGGGCCCGCGUUGGAUUAGCUAGUUGGUAGGGUAAAAGCCUACCAAGGCGACGAUCCAUAGCUGGUCUGAGAGGAUGAUCAGCCACACUGGGACUGAGACACGGCCCAGACUCCUACGGGAGGCAGCAGUGGGGAAUAUUGGACAAUGGGCGAAAGCCUGAUCCAGCAAUGCCGCGUGAGUGAUGAAGGCCUUAGGGUUGUAAAGCUCUUUUACCCGGGACGAUAAUGACAGUACCGGGAGAAUAAGCUCCGGCUAACUCCGUG